rnacentral:rRNA from 1 species
UAGGGAAUCUUCCGCAAUGGACGCAAGUCUGACGGAGCAACGCCGCGUGAGUGAAGAAGGAUUUCGGUUCGUAAAACUCUGUUGUUAGAGAAGAACAGCGCAUAGAGUAACUGUUAUGCGUGUGACGGUAUCUAACCAGAAAGCCACGGCUAACUACGUGCCAGCAGCCGCGGUAAUACGUAGGUGGCAAGCGUUGUCCGGAUUUAUUGGGCGUAAAGCGAGCGCAGGCGGUCAAUUAAGUCUGAUGUGAAAGCCCCCGGCUCAACCGGGGAGGGUCAUUGGAAACUGGUUGACUUGAGUGCAGAAGAGGAAAGUGGAAUUCCUAGUGUAGCGGUGAAAUGCGCAGAUAUUAGGAGGAAUACCGGUGGCGAAGGCGACUUUCUGGCCAUAAUCUGACGCUGAGGUACGAAAGCGUGGGUAGCAAACAGG